UAUUUGUCAGUGUUUGAUGAA
rnacentral:miRNA from 1 species